rnacentral:rRNA from 1 species
UACGAAGGGGGCUAGCGUUGUUCGGAAUUACUAGGCGUAAAGCGCGCGUAGGCGGACAUUUAAGUCAGGGGUGAAAUGCCGGGGCUCAACCUCGGAACUGCCUUUGAUACUGGAUGUCUGGAGUUCGGGAGAGGUGAGUGGAAUUCCGAGUGUAGAGGUGAAAUUCGUAGAUAUUCGGAGGAACACCAGAAGCGAAGGCGGCUCACUGGCCCGAUACUGACGCUGAGGUGCGAAAGCGUGGGGAGCAAACAGG